rnacentral:rRNA from 1 species
CAGUAUCCACGGGAAUACAGAGGGUGCGAGCGUUAAUCGGAUUUACUGGGCGUAAAGCGUGCGUAGGCGGCUUCUUAAGUCGGAUGUGAAAUCCCUGAGCUUAACUUAGGAAUUGCAUUCGAUACUGGGAAGCUAGAGUAUGGGAGAGGAUGGUAGAAUUCCAGGUGUAGCGGUGAAAUGCGUAGAGAUCUGGAGGAAUACCGAUGGCGAAGGCAGCCAUCUGGCCUAAUACUGACGCUGAGGUACGAAAGCAUGGGGAGCAAACAGGAUUAGAUACCCCAGUAGUCCCUGUCUCUUAUAC